rnacentral:sRNA from 1 species
UAAGGGUAAAGGGUCCGUAGGAUCGCU